rnacentral:lncRNA from 1 species
CACAAGGAAACUAUAAUCUCCUCCUUCACCUUAUCGAUCUCUUCCUCACAAUAAUUCAGUCAUACCAAUAACUGCUAUUUCCACCAAUAUAUUCACCCUCAUAAACUCCAACUAUAAUAUUGUGCCCUCACAGCUUUCAGCACAUAAUUACCCUCAUUCCAAUCACUGGAAUUCUUCACACAGAACUGCCAUUCACAUUAUGGUGUUUUACACAAACAGAGAUUCAUUCUCUCUGCUGAACUACAAUCAGAUUUCAGCAUUCAAUCUUUCUUCUUCUCGAAUAAUAUCAAUCACAUUUCCAUUCCAUAAUUCACUUCACAAUAUUCAGAAACUCUCAAUCUUCUUAUUCAAAGAAAAUAACAAACAAAAGAAAAGAGGUAGCACCAAGCUUACUCCGGCUAACAACUAUUACAGUGAUGGCACCUUAAUUAACUUCUAUAACUCCUAUAUACUUUCCCCUGAUUUUCUAGAUUCUAACUGUAAU